UGAGGAAUAUUGGACAAUGGGCGCAAGCCUGAUCCAGCAAUGCCGCGUGCAGGAUGAGGGCCUUCGGGUUGUAAACUGCUUUUGUACGGAGCGAAAAGGUCUGCCCUAAUACGGUGGGCUCAUGACGGUACCGUAAGAAUAAGCACCGGCUAACUACGCGCCAGCAGCCGCGGUAAUACGUAGGGUGCGAGCGUUAAUCGGAAUUACUGGGCGUAAAGCGUGCGCAGGCGGUUAUAUAAGACAGAUGUGAAAUCCCCGGGCUCAACCUGGGACCUGCAUUUGUGACUGUAUAGCUAGAGUACGGUAGAGGGGGAUGGAAUUCCGCGUGUAGCAGUGAAAUGCGUAGAUAUGCGGAGGAACACCGAUGGCGAAGGCAAUCCCCUGGACCUGUACUGACGCUCAUGCACGAAAGCGUGGGGAGCAAACA
rnacentral:rRNA from 1 species